GUAGGCGGCAAGCGUUGUCCGGAAUUAUUGGGCGUAAAGCGCGCGCAGGUGGUUCUUUAAGUCUGAUGUGAAAGCCCCCGGCUCAACCGGGGAGGGUCAUUGGAAACUGGGGAACUUGAGUGCAGGAGAGGAAAGUGGAAUUCCACGUGUAGCGGUGAAAUGCGUAGAUAUGUGGAGGAACACCAGUGGCGAAGGCGACUUUCUGGCCUGUAACUGACACUGAGGCGCGAAAGCGUGGGGAGCAAACAGGGAUUAGAUACCCUGGUAGUCCACGCCGUAAACGAUGAGUGCUAAGUGUUGGGGGGGUUUCCGCCCCCUCAGUGCUGCAGCUAACGCAUUAAGCACUCCGCCUGGGAGUACGGUCGCAAGACUG
rnacentral:rRNA from 1 species